GGAACGCCGGACCUGCGGUCGGGCUGGCGUGGCAGAGCACAGCGCGUAGGAGAAGUCGGAGGCAGGCAGGCAGUCGAAGGACGAGCACGUUGUCAGGACCGGCGGCGAGCUGAAGCGUGGUCGAAGGGCGAGCAAGUUGUCAGGACAGGCGGCGAGCAGAAGCGUGGUCGAAAGGCGAGCAAGUUGUCAGGACAGGCGGCGAGCUGAAGCGUGGUCAAAGAUCACGGAAGCAGGUGGCUACAAAGAUCGGUCCGGGGAAAAAAGGCAGGAGUAUCACGGGCAGGCAGCGGGUUCGGGGUUUGCCGCCACAACACGCACCAACCACCUUACGACCAUAGCUCGGCUCUGAUCAGACGCCUAAACAAUGGAGGCAUUGAAGAUGGUCCACUAAGACUUAAUGUCCCCCGCCUCCUCCGGGACGUGGGCAAAAUUCUGCUGGAGGUUGGACCAGCAUCUUCCACCACCAUCGAAGGCAGCACACCACCAGGUGGUGAUCAGUUGACAGCUCCGCCUCUCUCUUCACCCGAGUUUCCAAAACAUGCGGCUGCAAAUCCGAUGACAUGACUUUAAAGUUGAUCAAAGAGUGUUCAAAGGGUGUUCUGGUGCUACACUCACAUAUCGACAACUAGUGGGGGUGGGGGGUUAGGUUGGGAUGGAUGGAUGGAUGGAUGGAUGGAUGGAUGGAUGGAUGGAUGGAUGGAUGGAUGGAUGGAUGGAUGGAUGGAUGGAUGCAGACAUUGACAUUAAGGUAGGAAGAAUGAAAAGUAAAUCACAAUUGCAUGUAUUUGGAUGCUGAAAUGUAGAAUUUAGUUCCUACAUUAUAUAGAACAGACAUUAACGACUUUUCUACAGUACAUUUAGUGUGUGUGUGUGUGUGUGUGUGUAUUUAUACAUACUUGUGCAUGAGUGUGCAUGUUUGUCUGCACGCACGUGUGUGCGUGCGCACGCGUGUGUUUUUGUGUGUGCGCACGCUUGUCCAUUUGUGUAUGUGCUGUCCACCAUUUCGGUAAUGAGUUCAAUCUCCUGUCUCAAGCUAAUCCCUGUUUUUAUCUGUGUUGCAUGGUCACAGGAUUAUUCUUGUCUUUAACCUGGUCCUGACAUGGUAAUGAAAAAAUAACUGCUUUUAAUGUUUAAACUUAAAUUACUAUAAAUCUUUACUAGACUAAUAUAUGUAUAGUAUCCAUAUACCGUAAUUUUCGGACUAUAAAUCGCGUUUUUUUUCAUAGUUUGGGUGGGGGGGCGACUUGUAAUAUAUGUGUUUUUUUUCAAAGAUUUUCAAAAAUUUUACCCCCCCCCCCCCCCCAAAAAAAAGUGAAACCGCAAUAAACGAACCGCGAUGUA